ncrna:unclassified sequences DTF3800-IX RNA
CCGCCCCUGACGACAAGGUAGCCAAGUGAGGCUGUCUUUCUCGCAAGAGAAUAGUCAGGGGUGUUUUA